UCCAGAUUUACAUGACGCUGAUAAUGACGCCAUUGUGUACAUAUUAGGAGACAACACGCAGGAGCUUCAGCUAGAAACAACCAGAUGUGGCAUCGGGGGCAGAAGCUGUGAAGACUUCAGUCGGAGUCGGUCGAGAAGAAAAGAGGCUGCUGGAAGGGAGACAGAGUGUGCUGGCUGCAGGUGAGGUGACAUUUGGACGUGCUGACGUGUAAGGUGAGCGUAUUGUGUCACUUCCAGUGUUCCCGUGUUACAAACGCUAGUUUGCUGCUCCGGCAAAAACUUAUU